GGCUGGAAGGCGGGGUCGAGAGGAAAGAAAGAAAGGAGGGUGAGGACCCGGAUGCUGAACCGGAUUGUGUAUGAAUUUUCCGUACUUGCUAGAGCAGGGGAGGAGCGGUAGGUGAUCCGGUGCGGCGGAAGGGGGCAUCUGAGCGGAGAGGAAGCAGGAACCUCACUGACCCUGCGGGCUUCGUACGAGUAGAGGAAUCGCGUGAAGCGGUUUUGCCAAGUCUCUUAAAAACCUGCCUUGAAGUUAUUUAAAUCUAUUGCUUGUAUCUCGGGCAGUUUUCUUCAGCUCUGUCAUCUCCCAAAGUUUGCGUGGAAGGACUCACUCUGCGUUUCACAGCCAAGCUUACGUUUGUAUAUCACUAUUUAGCAAUUUUGAAACCAGAUCAUUGCCGGGGUGUGGGGGAGGGGGGAAAUUGCAUGGUAUUUUUAUCUUUUUAUAGUGAAAGCGUAUGCCCUGAUUUCAUCCUCUAGCGCGUUUCCGUUGGUUCAUUCAGUCGUUCACAAAUUUGUUGAGUGCCUACCAUGUAAAAAAACGGUGCAGACAGGAAGUAAAGUGGACACACGAGUGUGACAUUGGUAAUGGUGGUGAGUAAUACAAAGGAGAGUUACGUGAUGCUUUAAUAGAAUAGGGGCUUUGGCUUAAGGGAAGCAAAGUGAGAAUCGAGCUAAGAGUGAGUUAGCAGGAGUUAACUAUGGAAAGAAGAUUCCAGACGGAGAAAAUAGCAUGUUGGAAAGCCAGGUAUCUAGAGGGAACUUUAAUAAAAGUUUGAAGAACUAACGUCGUCAUCGUCCUCAUAAAAAGAUAAAGUCUGAGGAACUGAAGAGGGGGAAGAAAGCCGGAGAGUCGCCCAAUCUUUAAGGAGCUUUGUUCUUACCUGAGAGUAAAGGGAUGUCUUCGCAGGGUUCUCAAUCGGUAGGGAAAUAAGGCCAGAUCUGAAUUUUGCAAAGAUUCCUGGCUGAAGAAUAGAGGUCUGGAUUAGAGGGGCAAAUGCAGGGAGCCCAGCCAGGCAAUUAUUUCAAUAGUAGUCCACAUUGAGGGGACAAUCUGUUUUUAUUAAUAUUCGUCCGUCAGGGAUCCCUGGGUGGCGCAGCGGUUUAGCGCCUGCCUUUGGCCCAGGGCGCCAUCCUGGAGACCCGGGAUCGAAUCCCACGUCGGGCUCCCGGUGCAUGGAGCCUGCUUCUCCCUCUGCCUGUGUCUCUGCCUCUCUCUCUCUCUCUCUCUCUCUCUCUCUGUGUGUGUGUGUGUGACUAUCAUAAAUAAAUAAAAAUUAAAAAAAAGAAAACCCUUUAAAAAAUAUAUAUAUUCAUCUGUUAAUUGUGUGAACAAAUUUAAGGCAGUUUUCCUGUUUUGAAAGGGAGUAGUUUCAGACUCUCUCACAGAUCCAUUCUGUAGUCAUUCAAUCUAAAUAAAAAUAAGUUAGUAUAUCUUGUGUAACACUGACACCUUUUUAUUUGAAUCUAGUAUCUGAUGGCUGAAAUUUCCAGCUAUAAUAAAUAGGAGUCCUUUGCAUUAAAAAACAAAACAAAGCAAAACAAAAAAACAGGGAGGGCAUAGGCCACAGUUUGUAGAACCCGUUAGACUUAAGACAAAACAUUACUUUUCAAUACCUAGAAAAAUUGCGGUUCCUCUGUUUUCCCACCACUGAGAAUACUUACAUAUAAACAUCCUCUAGGAAAGGAACAUUAAUUGACUCACUUGUUAAGUGAGUGUUCUUACGGUAAUUUUUUAAAAGCCUUAAGAAUUGAAACACAGGUUAGCUCUGACUUCUGGGCAAGAAUAUACUUGUCUCCAGAAGGACAUAAAAGAGUUAUUGAAAGGUGGAUUUAUUCACUUUAAAGUUAAGUGUGUUCUGGAGGCUGUGAAAGAAUAAACAUGAUUAUGUCAACCUAAUUGGGAAGAGAUAGCUACCAACUUUUAAAUUCAGAAGUAUGUAAGAGAUGCCUUUUUAAAUUGUUUAUCCUACAUUUAAUUGUUGUAAUCUUUUGUGUAAGUGAUUAUUUUUCCUGCUUGUCAUCUUUUUUUAAUCUCCCAAGAAUGAGGUAAUGUGUCAAAGUUUAAAUUGUGUAAAUAAGAAAUUACUGAACUGAUUUUUAGAUAAUUUCAAAAUAUCUUUUCAACUUUUUUUCCCCUUGUGACAUGCUGAGUAUUGUCGGUUAAGGCAGGUUUAAAACUAUCUACAUGGAACGUUUCUCUUUGAGGUCAUAUUGCUAAGAUGAUUUCCUUUGCUGGAGUGCUCAAUUCUUAUGAUUGUUUCACCUAGGCACUCAAGAGAUUACAAAAAACACACUUCGGUUCAUGAUCCUACAGACCAAAUCUUUUUUAAAGAAGCAAAAGAAAGAUAAACUUGAGAAACUUUCUAAAAUGCCAAAAUGUCAGAGCAGUUAGAAAAAAAGAUUCCUAAGAUAAGAACAAAUAAAAAUAGCAAUAGAUACUUGGAAGGAAACAAAGUAGGGAUUGGAUUCAACAGUAAAGAAGGAUUGUAGGAAAUACCGAAGUAAAUGUAAAACUCAGAUAAUAAAUCACUACAGGAAGGGACCCCUGGGUGGCUCAGUGGUUGAGCGCCUCCCUUCCGCGCAGGGUAUGAUCCUGGAGUCACUGGAUCGAGUCCCGCAUUGGGUUCCCUGCAUGGAGCCUGCUUCUCCCUCUGUGUGUCUCUGCCUCUCUCUGUGUCUCUCAUGAAUAAAUAAAUAAAAUCUUCAAAAAUAAAUAAAUCACCACAGGAAAAUGUGUGUGUGUGUGUGUGUGUGUAGAUACAAGGUAAUAUUUUUUAUAAUUGCAUUAAAGUUAAUGCACAUCUUAAAUUAGAAUCUUUGAAAUGGGUUGAUUUCUUUAUAGAAAGUAGGAGAGAGGAGUUUUUGCUGUAUAUUUUAAAUAUAUAAAAUUUAUUCAUCUUAAUGCUCACUGAAAAAAGUAUGUUUACUAAUUUUGUAAUCAAUUAAAUAAUAGGAUCUAAUUCUUUGGAUUUGUUUUGACAGUGAUUUGAUGUCAACAAUUUAAGCUUUUAUGGUUGAGUAAAAUAAGAAAGGCUUAAUACAACUUUUGUAACUAAGGAAAUCACUUAGAGUCUAGGUGAACUUUGACCAAUGAAAUACUUGAAGAUUUUCCUUUUUUUUUUUUUCCCCUUAUAAGAGGUAAUCAACAUAUAUAGUUCACCCAUUUAAAGUACAUAUGUUAGUAUAUUCACAGGGUUGUGCAACCAUCACCACAAUCUAAUUUUAGAAUAUUUUAAUCCCUACGAAAAGAAACUUCGUACUCCCUAUUCUUCCUGCCCCAAUGCUAGGCAAUCUCAAUCUACUUUCUGUCUUUAUAGAUUUUCCUAUACUGAACAUUUCGUAUAAAUGGAAUAUAAUUUGUGGUCCUUUGUGACUGGCUUCUUUCACUUAGCCUGUUUCUAGAUUUCAUAUAUGUAGAAUUUUCUUAUAAAGCAAAACUGAAAGUCUGCCUGCACAAAAACACCUUGAGGUACAAAUUCCUUUGCAUUUGAAAUUCAAAAUUAAUUUAGUUAAUAAGAUUAUAUUUCUCCUUUUUCACAGAUCAGCUUUGAAAUUUAAAAACAAUGGAGAAGACUCAAGAAACAGUCCAAAGAAUUCUUCUAGAACCCUAUAAGUAUUUACUUCAGUUACCAGGUAAACAAGUGAGAACCAAACUUUCACAGGCAUUUAAUCAUUGGCUAAAAGUUCCAGAAGAUAAGCUACAGAUUAUCAUUGAAGUGACAGAAAUGUUGCAUAAUGCCAGUUUGCUCAUCGAUGAUAUUGAAGACAACUCAAAACUUCGACGUGGCUUUCCAGUGGCACACAGCAUCUAUGGAAUUCCAUCUGUCAUCAAUUCUGCCAAUUAUGUAUAUUUUCUUGGCCUACAGAAAGUCUUAACCCUUGACCACCCAGAUGCAGUGAAGCUUUUUACCCACCAGCUUUUGGAACUUCAUCAGGGACAAGGUCUAGACAUUUAUUGGAGGGAUAAUUACACUUGUCCCACUGAAGAAGAAUAUAAAGCUAUGGUGCUGCAAAAGACAGGUGGACUAUUUGGAUUAGCAGUAGGUCUCAUGCAGUUGUUCUCUGAUUACAAAGAAGAUCUGAAGCCACUACUUAAUACACUUGGGCUCUUUUUCCAAAUUAGGGAUGAUUAUGCUAAUCUACACUCCAAAGAAUACAGUGAAAACAAAAGCUUUUGUGAAGAUCUAACGGAGGGAAAGUUCUCAUUCCCUACUAUUCAUGCUAUUUGGUCGAGACCUGAAAGCACCCAGGUGCAGAAUAUCUUGCGCCAGAGAACCGAAAAUAUAGAUAUUAAAAAAUACUGUGUACAUUAUCUUGAGAAUGUAGGUUCUUUUGAAUAUACCCGGAGUACUCUUAAAGAGCUUGAAUCUAAAGCCUAUAAACAAAUUGAUGCACGUGGUGGAAACCCUGAGCUCGUAGCUUUAAUAAAGCACUUAAGCAAAAUGUUCAAAGAAGAAAAUGAAUAAUAAGCCAUUCUUGAUUAGGCCUGGUAGCUUAUUGUAGUUGACUAUUUUUUUUGUCUUUUAGCCUAUUGCUUUUUUAACAACUUGGACCAAGCUGUCAGUCUCCAAAAGUGGAUAGGGGUGAUGUGAGUAAGGUUGUUUCAAUUUAUAACCCCUUUGCACAGAUAAUCAUAGUACAAAGUUGGAGGAAUCAAAAGGAACCACAUUUAAAUAGGUUUUAUUUGAAUGUCAGAAUGUGCUGUGUUUGGACCUUAUGGACAACUGCCACAAACGUUCUGUUGAUUCCGUCAAUAAAGAAGACUUCAGCUUCCAGGAAUUUUUAUCCAAAUACUUCCUAACUGUACUGUGUGGGCAGUUCCUCAUUUGUCUACCCCAGUUCCAAGCCAGUGACUCCUUGGGGCCAGUUUCUGUAGCUAGCUAGCCCAGAGACCACUGGACCUCCUCUUUCUUCCUAAAUGUUGCUACUUAGAAUAUCUCAGUCUCCUCUUGGAAACUCCCUCACUAAAGUCUUCCAUGAAAAAGCUGACUAUGGUAUGUGUCCUGAACCUGAACCUGAACCUGGUGGUCCCUUCAGUGAAUUCCCUUUGUUCUUAAGGUAGGCUGAUCUCCAUGCUAUAAGAAGAGAAAAGCAAGAAGGCACAAGAUGGCUUAAGAGACUGUUAUAGUAAAUUGCCAUUGUGUGAAAAAGAAUGAAAUAAAAUAAUUUACAUAAAUUAUUCCUAGUAUGGAACCAAUGGACAGAAACUGUGAAAUAGGAGAAGCAAGAGAGACUUUUCGCAUUAAACCAUUUAUUACUGUUGA